UCCCCAUUGGUGUCCCCAGCCCCGAGACCGCCGCCUUCAUCCGGCACCUGGAGCAGGAGCAGGCCCAGCGCGCCCGGAACCCCCAGGAGCAGAAAUCCUUCUUUGCCAAAUACUGGAUGUACAUCAUCCCCAUCGUGCUCUUCCUCAUGAUGUCCGGAGCCCCCGAUGCUGGGGGGGCACAGGGCGGGGGCACGGGGGGCGGGGGGGGGGCGGGGGUCAGGUGAGACCCCCCCAAAAUCCCCCCCGGACCCCCCAGUGUGGGGCAUGGGCAAUAAAGAUGUGUGAGACCCCAAA